AGAUGAGCCCGCGUCCCAUUAGCUUGUUGGUAGGGUAACGGCCUACCAAGGCUACGAUGGGUAGCUGGUCUGAGAGGAUGAUCAGCCACACUGGAACUGACACACGGUCCAGACUCCUACGGGAGGCAGCAGUGAGGAAUUUUGCGCAAUGGGGGAAACCCUGACGCAGCAACGCCGCGUGAGUGAUGAAGGCCUUCGGGUCGUAAAGCUCUGUCAAGUGGGAAGAACCUGUGAACGGCCAAUACCCGUUUACACUGACGGUACCACUGAAGGAAGCACCGGCUAACUCCGUGCCAGCAGCCGCGGUAAUACGGGGGGUGCAAGCGUUACUCGGAAUCAUUGGGCGUAAAGGGCGCGUAGGCGGCCCGGUAAGUCAGGUGUGAAAGCCCGGGGCUCAACCCCGGAAGUGCAUUUGAUACUGCCAGGCUUGAGUAUGGGAGAGGGAAGUGGAAUUCCUGGUGUAGAGGUGAAAUUCGUAGAUAUCAGGAGGAACACCGGUGGCGAAGGCGACUUCCUGGACCAAUACUGACGCUGAGGCGCGAAGGCGUGGGGAGCAAACAGGAUUAGAUACCCUGGUAGUCCACGCAGUAAACAUUGUUCACUAGGUGUAGCGGGUAUUGACCCCUGCUGUGCCGAAGCUAACGCAUUAA
rnacentral:rRNA from 1 species